rnacentral:rRNA from 1 species
AACGAACGCUGGCGGCAUGCCUAACACAUGCAAGUCGAACGAGACCUUCGGGUCUAGUGGCGCACGGGUGCGUAACGCGUGGGAACCUGCCCUUAGGUUCGGAAUAACUCCCCGAAAGGGGUGCUAAUACCGGAUAAUGUCUUCUGACCAAAGAUUUAUCGCCUUUGGAUGGGCCCGCGUUGUAUUAGCUAGUUGGUAGGGUAAAAGCCUACCAAGGCGACGAUCCAUAGCUGGUCUGAGAGGAUGAUCAGCCACACUGGGACUGAGAAACGGCCGAGAAUCCUACGGGAGGCAGCAGUGGGGGAUAUUGGACAACGGGCGAAAGCCUGAUCCAGCAAUGCCGCGUGAGUGCUGAAGGCCUUAGGGUUGUAAAGCUCUUUUACCCGGGAUGAUAAUGACAGUACCGGGAGAAUAAGCUCCGGCUAACUCCGUG